UACAGAGGUGGCAAGCGUUGUUCGGAAUCACUGGGCUUAAAGCGCGUGUAGGCGGCCCGGUUAGUGUCUUGUGAAAUCCGACGGCUCAACCGUCGAACUGCAGGACAUACUGCCGGGCUUGAGGUCGGUAGAGGUGCCUGGAACUCUAGGUGGAGCGGUGAAAUGCGUAGAUAUCUAGAGGAACGCCGGAGGCGAAAGCGGGGCACUGGGCCGAAUCUGACGCUGAGACGCGAAAGCGUGGGGAGCAAACAGG
rnacentral:rRNA from 1 species